GACCGAGCUUCUACAAUAAGCGGCCUCUUUUCAGCCUUCUACAAGGACCAGACUCCAUCCGAACUUCCAUAGCGGAUGGAUAUCGGAUGAACUUCUACAACGGACAUACUCCAGCAGCUGGAUUUCUACAACGAUCAAUCGCCUUCGGUGUUUGCCGAACCUCCCUAGUGCCAACCGAGGUCCACCACCGGCCGACCCUCCACCAGAUUCCUCAUGAAAU
rnacentral:lncRNA from 1 species